rnacentral:rRNA from 1 species
GACGAACGCUGGCGGCGUGCUUAACACAUGCAAGUCGAACGGAAAGGCCCUGCUUUUGUGGGGUGCUCGAGUGGCGAACGGGUGAGUAACACGUGAGUAACCUGCCCUUGACUUUGGGAUAACUUCAGGAAACUGGGGCUCAUACCGGAUAGGAUCUCCUGCUGCAUGUUGGGGGUUGGAAAGUUUCGGCGGUUGGGGAUGGACUCGCGGCUUAUGAGCUUGUUGGUGGGGUAGGGGCUUACCAAGGCUUUGAAGGGUAGCCGGCAUGGGAGGGUGACCGGCCACAUGGGGACUGAGAUACGGCCCAGACUCCUACGGGAGGCAGCAGGGGGGAAUAUUGCACAAUGGGCGGAAGCCUGAUGCAGCAACGCCGCGUGCGGGAUGACGGCCUUCGGGUUGUAAACCGCUGUCGCCUGUGACGAAGCGUGAGUGACGGUAAUGGGUAAAGAAGCACCGGCUAACUACGUG